rnacentral:rRNA from 3 species
ACGGGUGAGUAACGCGUGGGAAUCUACCCAGUUCUACGGAACAACUGAGGGAAACUUCAGCUAAUACCGUAUACGCCCUACGGGGGAAAGAUUUAUCGGAAUUGGAUGAGCCCGCGUAAGAUUAGCUAGUUGGUGGGGUAAUGGCCUACCAAGGCGACGAUCUUUAGCUGGUCUGAGAGGAUGAUCAGCCACACUGGGACUGAGACACGGCCCAGACUCCUACGGGAGGCAGCAGUGGGGAAUAUUGGACAAUGGGCGCAAGCCUGAUCCAGCCAUGCCGCGUGAGUGAUGAAGGCCUUAGGGUUGUAAAGCUCUUUCAGUGGGGACGAUAAUGACGGUACCCACAGAAGAAGCCCCGGCUAACUUCGUGCCAGCAGCCGCGGUAAUACGAAGGGGGCUAGCGUUGUUCGGAUUUACUGGGCGUAAAGCGCACGUAGGCGGAUCGUUAAGUCGGGGGUGAAAUCCUGGAGCUCAACUCCAGAACUGCCUUCGAUACUGGCGAUCUUGAGUCCGGAAGAGGUGAGUGGAACUCCUAGUGUAGAGGUGGAAUUCGUAGA